rnacentral:rRNA from 1 species
UAUUGGACAAUGGGGGCAACCCUGAUCCAGCCAUGCCGCGUGUGUGAAGAAGGCCUUUUGGUUGUAAAGCACUUUAAGCAGUGAAGAAGACUCCGUGGUUAAUACCCACGGACGAUGACAGUAGCUGAAGAAUAAGCACCGGCUAACUCUGUGCCAGCAGCCGCGGUAAUACAGAGGGUGCAAGCGUUAAUCGGAAUUACUGGGCGUAAAGCGAGCGUAGGUGGCUUGAUAAGUCAGAUGUGAAAUCCCCGGGCUUAACCUGGGAACUGCAUCUGAUACUGUUAGGCUAGAGUAGGUGAGAGGAAAGUAGAAUUCCAGGUGUAGCGGUGAAAUGCGUAGAGAUCUGGAGGAAUACCGAUGGCGAAGGCAGCCUUCUGGCAUAAUGCUGACACUGAGGCCCGAAAGCGUGGGUAGCAAGCAG